rnacentral:rRNA from 1 species
GUACACUCCUGCGGGAGGCAGCAGUGGGGAAUUUUGGACAAUGGGCGAAAGCCUGAUCCAGCAAUGCCGCGUGAGUGAAGAAGGCCUUCGGGUUGUAAAGCUCUUUUGUCAGGGAAGAAACGGUGAAAGCUAAUAUCUUUUGCUAAUGACGGUACCUGAAGAAUAAGCACCGGCUAACUACGUGCCAGCAGCCGCGGUAAUACGUAGGGUGCAAGCGUUAAUCGGAAUUACUGGGCGUAAAGCGUGCGCAGGCGGUUUUGUAAGUCUGAUGUGAAAUCCCCGGGCUCAACCUGGGAAUUGCAUUGGAGACUGCAAGGCUAGAAUCUGGCAGAGGGGGGUAGAAUUCCACGUGUAGCAGUGAAAUGCGUAGAUAUGUGGAGGAACACCGAUGGCGAAGGCAGCCCCCUGGGUCAAGAUUGACGCUCAUGCACGAAAGCGUGGGGAGCAAACAGGAGUAGAUACCCGAGUAGUCCCA